UACGUAGGGUCCGAGCGUUGUCCGGAAUUACUGGGCGUAAAGCGCGCGCAGGCGGCCCGCGAGGUGUCACGUGAAAGCCCCGGGCUCAACCCGGGAGGGUCGUGGCAAACCGGCGGGCUUGAGGCCGGUAGAGGUGGGUGGAACUCCUGGUGGAGUGGUGAAAUGCGUAGAUAUCGGGAGGAACACCUGUGGCGAAAGCGGCUCACUGGACCAUAACUGACGCUGAGGCACGAAAGCCAGGGGAGCAAACGGG
rnacentral:rRNA from 1 species